GGAGGCUGUAGCUCAGGGGUGGAGUGCGUGCUUAGGGUGCACGAGGUCCUGGGUUCAAUCCCCAGCACCUCCA
rnacentral:tRNA from 1 species